rnacentral:rRNA from 1 species
AACGAACGCUGGCGGCAGGCCUAACACAUGCAAGUCGGACGAGAAGGUUCCUUCGGGAACUGGAGAGUGGCGCACGGGUGAGUAACGCGUGGGGACCUACCUCUUAGUGGGGGAUAACGGGUUGGAAAACGACCGCUAAAUACCCGCAUACGCCCUUCGGGGGAAAGAUUUAUCGCUAAGAGAUGGACCCGCGUUGGAUUAGAUAGUUGGUGAGGUAAUGGCUCACCAAGUCAGCGAUCCAUAGCUGGUUUGAGAGGAUGAUCAGCCACACUGGGACUGAGACACGGCCCAGACUCCUACGGGAGGCAGCAGUGGGGAAUAUGGACAAUGGGGGCAACCACACCCAGCCAUGCCGCGUGAGUGAAGAAGGCCUUGGGUGGAAAGCUCUUUCAGAUGCGAAGAUGAUGACGGUAACAUCAGAAGAAGCCCCCGG